rnacentral:rRNA from 1 species
UACAGAGGGUGCAAGCGUUGUUCGGAAUUAUUGGGCGUAAAGGGUUCGUAGGCGGUGUGGCAAGUCGGGAGUGAAAUCUCUGGGCUCAACCCAGAGUCUGCUUCCGAGACCUGCCGUGCUUGAGUGUGGGAGAGGCGCGUGGAAUUGCAGGUGUAGCGGUGAAAUGCGUAGAUAUCUGCAGGAACACCCGUGGCGAAAGCGGCGCGCUGGACCACUACUGACGCUGAGGAACGAAAGCUAGGGGAGCAAACAGG